rnacentral:rRNA from 1 species
UAAACUAGGAUUAGAUACCCUAUUAUUUUGAAUAUAAAGUUUUACCUGGGUAAUAAUAGUUAUGUUCUUUAAACCUAAAGGAUUUGGCGGUAAUUUAGUCUAUUCAGAGGAAUUUGUCCCUUAAUCGAUAGUCCCCGUUUUMUCUUACUUAUUUUAGUAUAAUCAGUAUGUAUACCGCCGUUAUAAGUUUAUUUUAUUAGAAUAUUAAUAUACUUAAAAUAUUAAUUUAUUUUAUUUCAGGUCAAGGUGCAGUUUAUAUUUAAGUGGAGAUGAAUUACAAUAUUAUUKGAAUAAAUGGAUUUAUUAUUUAAAACUUUAAUGAAGGUGGAUUUGAUAGUAAUAUUAUAAAUAACAAUGUUUAUUUGAUUAUAGCUCUAAAUUAAGCACACAUCG